UCCCUUUCUCGCUGGCCAACGAGGUCAUGGG
rnacentral:piRNA from 1 species